rnacentral:rRNA from 1 species
CCUACGGGAGGCAGCAGUGAGGAAUAUUGGUCAAUGGACGAGAGUCUGAACCAGCCAAGUAGCGUGAAGGAUGACUGCCCUAUGGGUUGUAAACUUCUUUUAUAAAGGAAUAAAACGAGGCACGUGUGCCUUUUUGCAUGUACUUUAUGAAUAAGGAUCGGCUAACUCCGUGCCAGCAGCCGCGGUAAUACGGAGGAUCCGAGCGUUAUCCGGAUUUAUUGGGUUUAAAGGGAGCGUAGAUGGGUUGUUAAGUCAGUUGUGAAAGUUUGGGGCUCAACCGUAAAAUUGCAGUUGAUACUGGCAGUCUUGAGUACAGGUGAGGUAGGCGGAAUGCGUGGUGUAGCGGUGAAAUGCUUAGAUAUCACGAAGAACCCCGAUUGCGAAGGCAGCUUACUAAACUGUGACUGACGUUGAUGCACGAAAGUGUGGGUAUCGAACAGGAUUAGAUACCCGUGUAGUC